UAUUGACCAAAAAGGAUGUCAAGGUCCUUUGACAAGUUCGGUAUAUGAUAUGCUGGUAAAAUGUCCCAGAUCUUUAGUACUUGAACGUGUAUCGAGUCCUGCUGCAGAAUAUCUAUGGUCCAAAUCAAUUUUAGGUACUUCACAUUGUAGUGAUAUGCUGGUAAAAUGUCCCAGAUCUUUAGUACUUGAACGUGUAUCGAGUCCUGCUGCAGAAUAUCUAUGGUCCAAAUCAAUUUUAGGUACUUCACAUUGUAGUGAUAUGCUGGUAAAAUGUCCCAGAUCUUUAGUACUUGAACGUGUAUCGAGUCCUGCUGCAGAAUAUCUAUGGUCCAAAUCAAUUUUAGGUACUUCACAUUGUAGUGAUAUGCUGGUAAAAUGUCCCAGAUCUUUAGUACUUGAACGUGUAUCGAGUCCUGCUGCAGAAUAUCUAUGGUCCAAAUCAAUUUUAGGUACUUCACAUUGUAGUGAUAUGCUGGUAAAAUGUCCCAGAUCUUUAGUACUUGAACGUGUAUCGAGUCCUGCUGCAGAAUAUCUAUGGUCCAAAUCAAUUUUAGGUACUUCACAUUGUAGACCUCCAACAGUGCAGAAGAACUCCCACCCUUGUUGUUGAUCAUUCUCUUCUUUUCUGACUUACGCCAACCACUUGAUAGCUUCAUCA
rnacentral:lncRNA from 1 species